rnacentral:rRNA from 1 species
UGAACGCUGGCGGUAUGCCUAACACAUGCAAGUCGUACGAGAGUUUUUAACUCUAGUGGCGGACGGGUGAGUAACACGUAAGAAUUUGCCUUUAGGAGGGGGACAACAAUUGGAAACGAUUGCUAAUACCCCAUAUGCUUUCGAGUGAAAUGGAUUUUUCCGCCUAGAGAGAAGCUUGCGGCUGAUUAGCUUGUUGGUGAGGUAAUGGCUCACCAAGGCGACGAUCAGUAUCUGGUUUGAGAGGACGAUCAGACACACUGGAACUGAGACACGGUCCAGACUCCUACGGGAGGCAGCAGUGGGGAAUUUUGCGCAAUGGGCGAAAGCCUGACGCAGCAAUACCGCGUGAAGGAAGACGGCCUAUGGGUUGUAAACUUCUUUUCUCAGGGAGGAACUCAAUGACGUGUACCUGAGGAAUAAGCAUCGGCUAACUCC